rnacentral:rRNA from 1 species
UACGUAGGGGGCUAGCGUUGUCCGGAAUUAUUGGGCGUAAAGAGCUCGUAGGCGGUCUGUUGCGUCGGCUGUGAAAACCCGGGGCUCAACUCCGGGCCUGCAGCCGAUACGGGCAGACUAGAGUUCGGCAGGGGAGACUGGAAUUCCUGGUGUAGCGGUGAAAUGCGCAGAUAUCAGGAGGAACACCGGUGGCGAAGGCGGCGUCCUGGACCAACACUGACACUGAGGAGCGAAAGCCAGGGGAGCAAACGGG